rnacentral:tRNA from 1 species
GAGAGGAGUCAAGAGACUCAGAAACUGCUAACUAUCUGCCUCUGCGGUUAAAAUCCGCAGUCCCCUCA